AAAUAAAAAAGAAAGAAGAUGGUACCCGGUGUGCAGUGGCUGCAAACAGCAGCCUCCUGGGUAGUGUGUGCAGCCUGUUGCUUGUACAGGCUGCCCUAAGGGACCCUGGAGACAGCC
ensembl:snoRNA SNORA70 Small nucleolar RNA SNORA70